rnacentral:rRNA from 1 species
AUUUGUCCUACGGAUGUACAUACUACCUCUAUAACACACAUAAAACUUACUCCUUAGAACUCAGAUUCUCUGCCCAUCUGCCCGUUACGAGCUCGGAGGCUUCACUAGCCUCUUGCCACUAUUUAAGUGUGCUAGUGUAUCAUAUCUAUCUCGUAUGGAGUGGACUGGAUAGACUUCCUCGAUUGAAAUUGUAAGUGUCCAAUCUUGGAUGACGGCUCUGUCUACCGGUUCGGUGCUACGGCAGCUCGACGAUGUUAGCGACAUUACUACACCCUAACGGGUUUGUAUUUAUCCACGGUGGUAGCGUACGAGCUCCACACUCGAUACCUGAUAAGUUUUAUACUAUUCUACGUAUCGGUAGGCGCCCCUCGGGGAUGAAGCCUGCUAUAUUACAACUCCAUGUGGUGGAUCACUCGGCUCACGCAUCGAUGAAGAGUGCAGCAAACUGUGUUAACCAAUGUGAAACGCAGACUGCUUCGAUCAUCGGUCUCUCGAACGCAAAUGGCGGCUUUGGGCUUGCCCUUAGCCACGUUUGAUCGAGUGUCGGCUUUUACCUAUCGUGAAACUUAAUUAUUCACGGAUUGGGAAGUUUACCAUGGCUACGUGUUUAAACUGUUCCAGUAGCGGGCAUGCUCAGAGUAUUACACGACUUUCCGGUUUGCUCUGAGUGAUAGAAUUUCAAUAGUAUUACACGGCUAUACGGUUUGCUAUUGAUUGACUGUCGUAUGUCAAAUGCGCUGGACCUAAGAGUAUUACACGACUUUCCGGUUUGCUCUUCGGUUAUACAGACACCCGUCUCAUACACGACUAUACGGUUUGAGAUGGGUUGUAUAGCUCUAGUGGUUCUUCCUUAAUAACAUGAGCAGUACUGUUGUGUACGUUAAUGAUUUGCUCUGCACAGGGUGUGUGGCUUAGUGUAAACUUUGUAACGCUGUACUGUUGUAGUUCAAGUUGUGCAUGACAUGUUCAUUUUAUAAUAGUCCUGACCUCGAUUCAAGCGUGAUUACCCGCUGAACUUAAGCAUAUCACUAAGCGGA